rnacentral:rRNA from 1 species
ACGCUGGCGGCAGGCCUAACACAUGCAAGUCGAGCGGCAGCGGAAAGUAGCUUGCUACUUUGCCGGCGAGCGGCGGACGGGUGAGUAAUGUCUGGGAAACUGCCUGAUGGAGGGGGAUAACUACUGGAAACGGUAGCUAAUACCGCAUAAGUCGCAAGACCAAAGAGGGGGACCUUAAAAUGCCAUCAGAUGUGCCCAGAUGGGAUUAGCUAGUAGGUGGGGUAACGGCUCACCUAGGCGACGAUCCCUAGCUGGUCUGAGAGGAUGACCAGCCACACUGGAACUGAGACACGGUCCAGACUCCUACGGGAGGCAGCAGUGGGGAAUAUUGCACAAUGGGCGCAAGCCUGAUGCAGCCAUGCCGCGGUAGAAGAAGGCCUUCGGGUUGUAAAGUACUUUCAG